UUUUUACAUUAUCGUUUUUGAUAGAGAUGGUAUUUCCCAGGAUUGUUGCUUCUUCCACUAAAUUAAAGGAACAUAGAUUUUGAGGAAUCGUUGUCAUAUUUGUAAGCAUCUGAGUUUUAGAUGCAUUCACCCUUAAACCAGAUCUUUCUCCGAAUAUUUCCAACACUUCCCCCAGCCUAGACGCUUGGGAGUCAAUGUUGCAACCACUAAGAAUGACAGUUCCAUCAUCUGCAAAAAACAGGCGAGCAACGGCUAAAAGAAAAAGCAUUGGACUCACAGGAUCCCCUUGUCUCACACCCCGCUGUAGCCUUACUGUCGGACUCUUUCUAAUAUCAAUGAUUGACUCCGCUUCAUUCGUCAAGUUUUUCACAGCCUCACAAAAGACUUGAGGGAAAUUCAUCCUCAUUAGUUCGUCAAUAAUGAAGGAAUGCUCAACUGUAUCGAACGCUUUUUCAAAGUCCAGAAGAAUCAAGGCAAUAUCUUCUCCUUUUGCCUCGGAACAACCAACAAUGGUUUUUAAUGACAUCGUUACAUCUUCCAUUUGAUGACCAGGGCGGAACCCGAAUUGAGUUUUUGGAAGCUUUUUGUUUAAAAUCGGUUUUAAUCUCUCAGUAAUACAGCCUGAAUAAAUUUUAUACUCAG
rnacentral:lncRNA from 1 species